GACGAACGCUGGCGGCGUGCUUAACACAUGCAAGUCGAACGGAAAGGCCCCCAUCUUGGUGGGGGUGCUCGAGUGGCGAACGGGUGAGUAACACGUGGGUGAUCUGCCCUGUACUUCGGGAUAAGCUUGGGAAACUGGGUCUAAUACCGGAUAGGACCAUGGUUUAGUGUCUCAUGGUGGAAAGAUUAUUGUUUUGGUGCAGGAUGAGCUCGCGGCCUAUCAGCUUGUUGGUGGGGUAAUGGCCUACCAAGGCGUCGACGGGUAGCCGGCCUGAGAGGGUGGACGGCCAGAUUGGGACUGAGAUACGGCCCAGACUCCUACGGGAGGCAGCAGUGGGGAAUAGUGCACAAUGGGCGCAAGCCUGAUGCAGCGACGCCGCGUGGGGGAUGACGGCCUUCGGGUUGUAAACUCCUUUCGUUAGGGACGAAGCCGCACUUUUUUUGGGUGUGGUGACGGUACCUUUGUUAAGAAGCACCGGCUAACUACGUG
rnacentral:rRNA from 1 species